AGCUAAACAAAGAAAACAUGGGAGAGCGCGUUCCACGUCCAAAGACCAAGAACAAACCAAAGGUGAACUUUAAAUGCACCUGCUGCAUCCUCCACUCAACAAACCCUACAGAUAGUAUGAAUAGUACAGUAUAGUAAAGUAACAGUGGCCAGAAAUCUAGUUAGUAUGUAGCUAGAGUGAAAACACACAACACUUGAUGCUUCAUCAUUACUUUGACGCAUUGUUUGGUCACAUUUCAAGGAUGCAAAGCGGGUAGCGUGAAAGAAGUGCAAACUGAAGACAAGCAAAGAAGAACUCCACCUGGAAAAGCCACUGCACCGACCUUCCCCGAGCUCCAUGUGAGCUCACUGCCUACAGGUCGCCGUGCAGGGAAAACAAGCCCAUCUGAACUUUCCUUCACCUGUACGUCAGUGCCCUGAAGCAAGUAACCCGGGCGACGGGCGCGAGCGGGGCGGCGAGGGAUAUUUAUGGGCUGUUAAGUCAUAUCUCACACACACACUGACACACACCAUAGCACCGACACACACACACAGCCCAGCAGGAGUUGUUUCACUCCACCUCCACUCUUUGCUUCAUUCUACCUCCAGAGUUCUCCUCCGUUGUUCCCGUGGUACAGCAGGAUGAGACGCCCAAUGGUGCCCAAACGCUGUUAUGUUAUGGUGCAUGACGGUUGUUUCACGUCUGCGGGCGCUGCUCGCGUUCGACCCGAUAAGCCUCUGGAGCGCGUCUACCGACGGCCUCGUCGCUCUGGAUGUGAGGAGUGACGCGAAACCUCGCCUGAUGAUGGGAUCGAGGAUUCCGCUCCUUCUGUGCCCAUUACUGGUGCCACCUUGCAGCUGUUCGCCCUCAAACACCAGUUGUAAAACACACGGGGCCUCUAUGACCAUAAGGGGACGAUAAUGGCCUCUCAAAUCAAUGUCAGCGCCUGUUUAGAUUUAAUUAGCUGCCUUAGAACAGGUUCUCUGUGUGAGUGCAUCCACUUAGAGGCCCCUCAUUGGAUUUUCACGUUCACAAUGGAAAGACUGAAGCGUCAAUUCUAGUAAUCCUAUAUCUGCACUUGCUGGCCUGUCCCUCGAGGGCGAUGCAAUGUAGUGCUCCUCUGUGUGCGCUUAUGUUUUCAUUCAUUUGUCAUAAAACAUAUUUGUUGCAUUUAAAUGUGCCUUGAGUGUCUGAGAGCGAGCGCGUGCUCGCACAGCGGUGGGAUUGAUUGAGCGGUGAAUUGCGAGUCCCCUGGGUGUUUUUUUUUUUUUUUUUUUUUUCUUGAGCGGCUUGUUGUUUCUGUUUUGUGGCUCCACAAUGGGCCUGUGUGUUUUGGGGUGGGAAUUGUAUGCGUGUGGGUGGGACGUGUGCGAGUUUCUGAAUGUACGUACGCGUUUGCAUAAGAGGGCCUGCAACGACAGCACGGCCUGCAUUACGCUUGCCAAGCUCUUGAGCAACCAGGAAUCAAAAUAGAUUUUUUUCCCUCUACCUCGGCUUCGGGUAAUUCCAGUCUCGAAGAAGAGCAGAAUGACUAAGAUUGUGUAGCAUGUCGUGUAUUUGUACAACUGUCAGUUGUGCUUGACACAGACUUGCUGACAGAUUGGAGAUCCAGGAACAUCUCUGUACAGAUUCCUGACAUACCUGUAACUGUAACGCAUGAUGGGCUCAUUCUGAUGCUAAUUAUUUUUGCAACAUCAGCUCUUCUUCCUCCUCUUCGCGCUGCUUGACCAGCUCCGCGAGGCCACCAGGCCCGAGUCGGCUGAGGACAGAGGUGGCCUGGGGAUGAACGCAGGGAUUGUUGAGGGGUGGGGCAGGUUCCUCUACAGCACCUGGCCAUCUGGACAUUACAUCCCCCAGAGCCGUAAUGGACGCCCCCU
ensembl:lncRNA